UACAGAGGUCUCAAGCGUUGUUCGGAAUUACUGGGCGUAAAGGGUGCGCAGGCCGCGCGGGCAGUCAAAUGUGUAAUUCAGGGGCUCAACCCCUGCACUGCGCUUGAUACUUCCGCGCUCGAGCUUUGGAGAGGAGUCUGGAAUUCUCGGUGUAGCAGUGAAAUGCGUGGAUAUCGAGAAGAACACUUAGGGCGUAGGCAAGACUCUGGACAAAUGCUGACGCUCAUGCACGAAGGCUAGGGGUAGCGAACGGG
rnacentral:rRNA from 1 species